AAUGGUUUAAAUAACGAAGGAAGAGCCAAAGGGACAGUGCUGAAUUUUUUUUCAGCUCCUCUUUUGGUCAAAAUGUUACAGUUUUAUAGUUUGGACUAUAUUUUAAAUCUUUAAAGCCAAAUUCAGCUUGGACAGCCCUGGCAAUUUCAACGGAGGAUUAAUGUGUGUCAUUAAGCAAAGAAAUAUGGUCUAGUACUUUUCAAUAGCAACAAAUGCUUGCUAAGGCACUUCUCUAAUCACCAUAUUUUUGGCUUACUGCAAAGCCCUUGGACUAAUCCUUUCUUAAAUAUAUGGAAUGUACAUUCAGGAAAGCUGAGGGUGAAUUGCUGUGAUUUGAGAUGGUUGCUAUAUUGCAGCUGAAAAGUCCUUCUUGCUGCUAACUCUUUUCCAUUUGUGCUGAUUCAGCAGAAAACUGGCCCACCAAAAAGAAAGAGGCAGGGGGUAUAUACUUAUUGGCAAACGGAUUCAAAGUCAGUGUGUGGUCUGACUGUCUGUAAAGAAGAAGGGCUUUUGUGUAGACAGAGAGGAAGGCAGGAAUGUGCUUUCAAGCAAGUGAAGUACAUUAUUAAUCUGUACUCAAAAUGAACAGGUUCCCCUAAAAGAGAAGCACAAGGGGGAAAAGAGCUGGAUGAAGCUGAGUAAUUCUUCAUUAGAUUGCUCUCAACAGAAAACUCUAGUUUUUCACAGACAAGUGACUCCAUUGAAAUACAGUGGCUUGGCAAAAGUUGAGGGCAUGGUAUUUUCUGUGUAUGAACAUAUAGAAGUAAGGGCCCUCUCUCAGCUGUAUAAAUAGGGACUCUGUGGCUCUGCUCCCCCCUGCCUGCUUGCCUGGAGGGAUGUUGCUCUGUCAUAGCUGAAUCAGCAGCUAACACCAGCAGCAGUCCUUCCUGUCCCAUUUACACUUGUAGCAAAGCAGGGCAUCGUUCCAAUGCACAAAGUGAAAUACUGAGUCACACACAUGCAGGGUACGAUUUGUAAAAGCAUGCUCUGCAACGCUGCUUCUGAUCCCUUUGAAUUCAGUGACGGAUCUCCCACAAGUUUCAACUGCAAAAUUGGGCCAGUGGUGAAAUCUUAUAAAACAUCCAUGUUAUGAAUAUUAGAAACAUGAAAGAACCAGUGUUCCAGCAUUAAGAUCACCAGAUGCAGCAUCUGCUCAUCCUCUCUGUUUUACCAGUUCCUGGAUUUAUUCACCAGUUGAUGCUAUAGGCUGAAAAUCUUUGCCUUCUCAGCAAUCAUGAAAGUGCUUGAAAAUUUAUCAAUGUCCUUUUAUAACAUCCCCAAACUACUUAUUAUCAUCUCCAAAGAAGUGUUUUUUGGAGUAGUAUCAGAAGGUCAAUUUAUCCCACUGAAACACCUAUUAUUAUAAAGAGAGAGAGAGAAAACAACAACAACAAAAGGAAGGAGCCAACAGCUCUAGCGCAGCCCUGGAAAAUAUGAAGUCAUCAGUAGAGUUCAGCCAGAACAGACUGCCAUUAAACUCUGUUUAAGAGCCAAGUUCCGCCCUGAGAUAUGUGUUUGCUGCAGUUUAUGUCGGGGGGAGCUGUGCUGUACUUCAGAGCAAGGCUCGGUCAGAAGUGUGUAUCCUUUACAAGUCAAAGAGAAGAGUCCACAUCCCUUUUGUAUUUUUUUGGUUUCCUCUGUGUAGAUGGAACAGAAUUCUUAAAGAGGUAAAUAAAACAGUCCCAUGUUUCACAAUGCCUGUCAGUUUUGAUUCUCUCCUCUGCAGGACCUGAGUGACUGUUUUUGCCUCCAGCAGGCUACCUUCCUAGUGGCUGGUAUUUGGGCAGGGUGGGGUGAUGCCUUGCUCUCUGAUACAAGCCGUGCCUUCAGCGGUGCUGAGCCCCCAGGAUUGAAUUCCUUCAAUUACAAGGAGGCCUUCAUCUCCAUCCAGAAUGAGCAAUGUAAUGAAGGUAGGCCCAUCUAUGAAGAUUAAUCCCAUCUUCCCAUGGAAGAUGGAUGUGUUCAGCUCCCCUUGCUGAGGGCACUGACAUGAAGACAUUCACUCCACUCUUCUCCAUGACUAGUGCAGAAGCAGUAUGAAUGACAGGAAAUGUGGCCAGGAAUUGUAACUGCUGAAUUCUCUCAGCACAAAGGAGCUGGUAGAAGAACGCCACCUCAAGAGAAGCUGGCUUAUCUGAAGAAGGAAGACGUAGACCCUCAUGAAAUAACUGAAUUUUUUUUCAAGGAUGGAAAAAGAGAGGGAAAGGGAAGGAGCAGAACAACAAAUGCAGCAGAGCAAGUUUAACCCAUUGAGAUUUUCAGUAAAAUUUUCUGCUUGAUAAGGAAGAAUCCUGCAGUGAAACAUAUGUCAGAAGAGAAGCAGAUAUGAGAAAGCAGUCUCCUCUGUAGAUGAGAAGAUUAAUUAAGAGGGAAAUCACUUAGCCAGAUGUCUCAUUGGUGAAACUAUAUGUGCAAGGUACGUCUGCAAUGAGAGAUCUGCAGAGCAAAGACAGUGCAUUUGACUUCUUCGCUAACAUUACAGAGAGAAGAGUCUGGUGUGAAUUAGAUCAUGCUGACCCUUGGAGAAACUGAGGAGCAUGGAUCUGAUUUCAGCUACAAAUUACGAGCUACAUGCCUGUUACCAUGCUGCACGGUUGUUGCUUGAUACAGUUGAGUUAUGAGUUACAAAUAAAUUAUGCAGAGAAAACA